rnacentral:rRNA from 1 species
GUCUACAGCCAUGCUACCCUGAACAAGCCCAAUUCUGUCUGAUCUCGGAAGCUAAGCAGGGUCAGGCCUGGUUAGUACUUGGAUGGGAGACCACCUAGGAAGACCAGGUGCUGUAGGCA